GACGAACGCUGGCGGCGUGCUUAACACAUGCAAGUCGAACGGCAAGGCCCUGCUUUUUUGGGGUUCUCGAGGGGCGAACGGGUGAGUAACACGUGAGUAACCUGCCCUUGACUUUGGGAUAACUUCAGGAAACUGGGGCUAAUACCGGAUAGGAGCUCCUGCUGCAUGGUGGGGGUUGGAAAUUUUCGGCGGGUGGGGAUGGACUCGCGGCUUAUCAGCUUGUUGGUGGGGGAGUGGCUUACCAAGGCUUUGGCGGGUAGCCGGCAUGAGAGGGUGACCGGCCACAUUGGGACUGAGAUACGGCGCAGACUGCUACGGGAGGCAGCAGUGGGGAAUAUUGCACAAUGGGCGGAAGCCUGAUGCAGCAACGCCGCGUGCGGGAUGACGGCCUUCGGGUUGUAAACCGCUUUCGCCUGUGACGAAGCGUGAGUGACGGUAAUGGGUAAAGAAGCACCGGCUAACUACGUG
rnacentral:rRNA from 1 species